rnacentral:piRNA from 1 species
UUAAAGAUGUGAACCACCGCCUGC